GUUCUGAAACCAGCGUCUCUGGUUACAACCAAAGAGGUUGCUCAGUCACACUCCUGAAAGGCAAAAGGAGGUUGGCCAGUAAAAAAGAUGUAAACCCUAGAUGUAGUUCUUAGUGUGGAAGCCACAGGAGAACUUCCAAUGUGGCCACGGGGAUCGCCGAGGCUUUUAUGCAGGGGAGUUCAGCCUACACCCAGGAAUGCACAAGGACAGCUUGGAGCUUAGAAGCAAGUGGAGUUGGUUCAUCUCUUUCACUGGCUCAUAAUUUUGCAACGGCGGUUUCAUCUCUACCCUGACAAUACCUUUUAGUUUUCUUACCCACUGGGGUCGAGACUUAAUUGAAGACCUCAGACGGACAGCAUAACACGGAACCUGAGACCUUGAUUUGCGGGGACAGGCUUAAAGUGUAUUCUGGAGUUGGUGCCCCCACCCCAGGGGCCGGCUCAGAGGGUUCACUUUCCAGCCUAACGGCAGGGGAACCAGAGGCUGCCGACCUGGAUCUCACCUUGAUGGAGGUCUUGUCACCUUCCUCCUUGGCUGGAGAGACAGACUGUGGAUGCUCUCCUGCUGGCCACCCAAAAACAACAAACAGACAAACAAAUAUGAAUGAGGAAAACUUGAAGAGGCCCCACGUGCCAGAGGUGGGACAGCUUGAGAUUUGGUGAGGAUAAUUGCAGUGGCUCAAAACCCAUAAAGAAGUUUAAGUCCAUGAGUUCACCGUAAUCUGAAACAAAAACAAAAACAAAAACAAAUUGAUCAUCUUUGGAGGCUAACAAUCAAUUCAUUAUCUAGAGACAGACAGAGGCUCACUAGUGGCACGAUCUUGGCUGAUUGCAUCUUCCACCUCCUGGGUUCAAGAGAUUCUUGUGCCUUAGCUUCCUGAGUAGCUAAGAUUACAGGUGUGCACCACCACGCCCGGCUAAUUUUUGUAUUUUUAGUUGAGAUGAGGUUUCACCAUGUUGGCCAGGCUGGUCUCGAACUCCUGACCUCAAGUGAUCUGCCCGCCCCGGCCUCCCAAAGUGCUGGGAUUACAGGCGUGAGCUACUGUGGCCGGCCACAUUUCCCUUCUGGUGCGCGUCCUCCUGUAGCUGUGGGAUCAGGGGAGGUAGAGAUGUCUUGUAACUGACUCAAGUUUGGCUGCUUGCCGCAGGAGAAGCGAGGUGUGGUGAAAGGAAAGCAACUUUUAUUCAGAUGCUAGCAGGUGGGAGAGUGGCCAGGCUCAAGGCUCUAAGGAACCAUCUCAGCUUUUUGGACUGCGUGAAGGGCUUUAGGAAGGAGAACUCGGUGUGGGAGACAUGUGGGAGUAGGGCAGUGGUGCAGGUGUCUUGAGUAAUUGCCCAUCCGGAGGUCUAGUUGGCAUCAUCUUGACCUUGGUCUGGUGGUGGUGGACUCAUUGUUCAUAACUCCCCUAGACAGGAGGAUUCCACAGCUGGGUUCUAUGCCUGGUUUAUUUAAAAAUGAGCCCCUGGCAUUUCUAAGCAGGCACAGAAUGAGAUAAGUGAGCACUGUGGCUGGUGGGAAAGGGAGGGAAACAGGUUUAAAGUAUGUUUCAAGGCUGCAUUCUGAGACUAGGAGGGAAAGGAAGAAAAACUUUAAAAUUCUUCUCAAGGCUGAGAUAUUUGACUACAGUCUCAUGCCCAAAAUGUUUCUAUUCUACACUGAGACCUGAUAGAUAAUUUGGCUGCAUACCUGGAGUCCAGUGUGUGCACCUGCCCCUCCCAUCCCAUACUCGCAGCCAGUGGAAAAGUCUGCAAAAGGAAGCCAGCUGGGAGUGCCCACCAGAGUCAAAGUCUGGGGCAGGCUGGUGGACUCAAGAGGAGUCUUAAAUAUUGGAAAUGUCAUCACAAACCAUCUGGGAAGCCCCCUCCUCUUAAAAAGGACAUAAAGUCAAAGUGAACAGGUGUGCUCACUCCAAGCCCGUGCCCACAACCACAGUGCCCUUCACAUUCAGAGUCAUGGCCACUAGCCACAAAAUUGUGACUUACAGUUCACAAAAUUGGGACAUAUUUACAUGUUGACUAAGUUGGGAAAUAAUUUGGAUUUUCUUUAAAAGUAGUAAAAGUAAAGAAGAAAAAGUCAAAAAGGUCUGACAUCUAAGAGGGUGAAAUUUCCUUACUUUAGAUCACAAGCAAUCAGGCUGAUCCCGCCUGAGCCCUGAGCUCCCUGGGACCCAGCAGCAGCUGUGCAUUGGCACGUGGUGCCCUGUGUCUGAUCAGCUGACUCCUCAGGCAAAACCUGCACCAUUUUCACCAGAAUUGCAGAUGUCCUCAGUGUCAUUACAAAGUUCCUAAGUCAUGACCAUUCUGUCCUGUGGAACCAGGCUGGACUAAGCUCCCAUUUCUUUAAGCCAUCCUGUCCCCUGCAGGGACUUCCAAGGUGGAGCUGAUGAGCAAUAGUUAUGAGUCAUUGGAGGAGACAUCCCAGAGGCGCCAGCUCCCCUCUGCCCUAAACUGAAAUUAAGACCUGGUGCUCUGGGUGGGGCCCCUGGAAGGGGAUGUGCAACUCAGAGGGGACCUUCUCCACCUCCACCCAGGAGACCCCAGAGGGACCAUGGCAGAGCCGGAGCCCUCUUUUUUUUUGUUCGUUUUUUAUUUUAUUAUUAUUAUACUUUAAGUUUUAGCCCUCUUUUAAAAACCAAAUGAAAAUAAGCAAAAGAAGCCAAUCGUCUCUGUGAAAUGUCCAGAAGAGGGAACUCUGUAGAGACAGAGAGGAUAUUAUUGGCUGCCGGAGGCUGGGAAUGGGAAGGUGAGGGGCCUGGGGAGGUGAUGGUUAAAAGAUUCUUCUUUGUGGUGAUGAAAUUGUCUUAAAAUGGACUGUGGUGAUAGUUGUGCAACUUGGUGAAUAUAUAAGUUAUUGAAUUGUACACUUUAAAUGGGUGAAUUGUAUGGUGUGUGAAACAUAUCUCAAUAAAGCUGUUAUUUGAAAAAUAA
rnacentral:lncRNA from 1 species